rnacentral:lncRNA from 1 species
UGGAAAAAAAAAAUAAAAAUAGUUUCCUGCAGAUGGAUAGAAACAAAAGAAAAGAAAAGAAAAACAAAGGAAAGAAUGCUGAUCAAUUUCUGACCAAUUCCGAACGUAAAUAAGAAACUUUAGCGUUUAAAAAAUGAAGAGGGAGUAGAGUUUUGCCCGGCAUGGUGGUAAUCGAUCAGGGUAGAAGAAGGACCCUUAGGUUGAGUGAAGAGUAUAGGGGUAGGAGUGAGGCUGGACGGGUAGGUGGAGGAGGAGGGGGGUGGUGGUUAAAAGAAAGAAAAGAAUAGAAAGUAGGUAUAGAGGGCGGUCGUGUAUAGGGGGGUUGGUUAUCUCGAGUGAACUCGUGCGCUUUCGGCGGCGGCGCCGGCGCCGAUGUUGUAAAAUUGGGCUAGUGGUGGGGGUAAAAGGUGAGCGUCGCGACGUCGGGCGUCGAGGAUACGGGUGAGCUCGGGACAGGCAGGCCAGGCAGGAGCUACGGCAGGCGACGGCCGGGCGGUCGUUUUAUUGAUCCCGGGGCGCCGCGGCGCUACCCACCCGCGGCGGGAAACACUCCGAGAACUUUCCUUUUCCUCCAAGAGGAUAUAUCUCCUUUUUUUCCAUCUUUCCGUCCUCUCGACGUGGUUUCCUCUCGCAGGACGAGAAGAACAUACGCACAGAUACUACACACACAAGAAACAUAUAGAUACAUAGUCACGUACCGCGUACUUUUACGUCAAAGGAUUGUCAAUAACGACCUGGUGGUGUACUCAAUUGGAAUGAAUUUUUGCCAAUCGGGUGGACUCGUCCGAGUUACAAUAGUAUUCACGUAAUUAUUAUUAUUAUUAUUAACGUUUAAACGUGUGUCCCCCUUGUAAUAUACUAGUGGUUGUGUAAAUCAUCUUCGAGAAGAGAUCGGAAAGGAUUUUCGAUAAGAAUAAGAACGAAACGCGGUUCAGAGGAAUAUCAAGUGCGAUCAAGGAGCUUUCGAGGAAUCGUUUUUAUUUGGGAUCAUGGCGUGGCUCGUUUCGACGAUGAAGAUGGUAUAAAAAAGGGGCUCUCAUUGUUUCGGGGGACAGUGUUAGGAAAAA